UUCUGGGAGGGUUGACAGAUUGAGAGCUCUUUCUUGAUUCGGUAGAUGGCGCUGCAUGUCCGUUCUUAGUUGGUGGAGCUAUUUGUCUGGUUAAUUCCGAUAACGAACGAAACUCUAGCCUAUUACAUAGGUGCGUGAUUCUCUGCACGUUGCACCUUUCUUAGAGGGACAAGCGGCUCCUAGCCGCACGAAACAGAGCAAUAACAGGUCUGUGAUGCCCAGAGAU
rnacentral:rRNA from 1 species